rnacentral:rRNA from 1 species
GAUGAACUCUGGCGGCGUGCCUAAUACAUGCAAGUCGAGCGAACAGACGAGGAGCUUGCUCCUCUGACGUUAGCGGCGGACGGGUGAGUAACACGUGGAUAACCUACCUAUAAGACUGGGAUAACUUCGGGAAACCGGAGCUAAUACCGGAUAAUAUAUUGAACCGCAUGGUUCAAUAGUGAAAGACGGUUUUGCUGUCACUUAUAGAUGGAUCCGCGCCGCAUUAGCUAGUUGGUAAGGUAACGGCUUACCAAGGCGACGAUGCGUAGCCGACCUGAGAGGGUGAUCGGCCACACUGGAACUGAGACACGGUCCAGACUCCUACGGGAGGCAGCAGUAGGGAAUCUUCCGCAAUGGGCGAAAGCCUGACGGAGCAACGCCGCGUGAGUGAUGAAGGUCUUCGGAUCGUAAAACUCUGUUAUUAGGGAAGAACAAAUGUGUAAGUAACUAUGCACGUCUUGACGGUACCUAAGCAGAAAGCCACGGCUAACUACGU